rnacentral:rRNA from 1 species
UGGGGAAUAUUGCGCAAUGGGCGAAAGCCUGACGCAGCGACGCCGCGUGAGGGAUGAAGGUUUUCGGAUCGUAAACCUCUGUCAGAAGGGAAGAAACCGCACUGUGCUAAUCAGCAGUGCCUUGACGGUACCUUCAAAGGAAGCACCGGCUAACUCCGUGCCAGCAGCCGCGGUGAUACGGAGGGUGCAAGCGUUAAUCGGAAUUACUGGGCGUAAAGCGCACGUAGGCUGCUUUGUAAGUCAGGGGUGAAAUCCCACGGCUCAACCGUGGAACUGCCUUUGAUACUGCUUAGCUUGAAUCCGGGAGAGGGUGGCGGAAUUCCAGGUGUAGGAGUGAAAUCCGUAGAUAUCUGGAGGAACAUCAGUGGCGAAGGCGGCCACCUGGACCGGUAUUGACGCUGAGGUGCGAAAGCGUGGGGAGCAAACAGG